rnacentral:tRNA from 1 species
GGCCCCGUCGUCUAAUGGUUAGGACAGCGGCUUUUCACGCCGCAAACGGGGGUUCGAUUCCCCCCGGGGCUA